GGAUGCGAUCAUACCAGCACUAAAGCACCGGAUCCCAUCAGAACUCCGAAGGGCGAGAGUAGUACUAGGAUGGGUGACCUCCUGGGAAGUCCUCGUGUUGCAUCCC
rnacentral:rRNA from 1 species